rnacentral:rRNA from 1 species
GUGGGGAAUAUUGGACAAUGGGCGCAAGCCUGAUCCAGCCAUGCCGCGUGAGUGAUGAAGGCCUUAGGGUUGUAAAGCUCUUUCGUCAGGGAAGAUAAUGAUGGUACCUGAAGAAGAAGCCCCGGCUAACUUCGUGCCAGCAGCCGCGGUAAUACGAAGGGGGCUAGCGUUGCUCGGAAUCACUGGGCGUAAAGCGCACGUAGGCGGCUUUCUAAGUCAGGGGUGAAAUCCUGGAGCUCAACUCCAGAACUGCCUUUGAUACUGGAGAGCUUGAGUUCGGGAGAGGUGAGUGGAACUGCGAGUGUAGAGGUGAAAUUCGUAGAUAUUCGCAAGAACACCAGUGGCGAAGGCGGCUCACUGGCCCGAUACUGACGCUGAGGUGCGAAAGCGUGGGGAGCAAACAGGAUUAGAUACCCCUGUAGUCC